GAGAUGGCGAUGCGUCCCAUUAGCUUGUUGGCGGGGUAACGGCCCACCAAGGCAUCGAUGGGUAGGGGUUCUGAGAGGAAGGUCCCCCACAUUGGAACUGAGACACGGUCCAAACUCCUACGGGAGGCAGCAGUGAGGAAUAUUGGUCAAUGGACGCAAGUCUGAACCAGCCAAGUAGCGUGCAGGAUGACGGCCCUCUGGGUUGUAAACUGCUUUUAGUUGGGAAUAAAGUGCAUCACGUGUGAUGUUUUGUAUGUACCAUCAGAAAAAGGACCGGCUAAUUCCGUGCCAGCAGCCGCGGUAAUACGGAAGGUCCAGGCGUUAUCCGGAUUUAUUGGGUUUAAAGGGAGCGCAGGCGGACCUUUAAGUCAGCUGUGAAAUACGGCGGCUCAACCGUCGAACUGCAGUUGAUACUGGAGGUCUUGAGUGCACACAGGGAUACUGGAAUUCAUGGUGUAGCGGUGAAAUGCUCAGAUAUCAUGAAGAACUCCGAUCGCGAAGGCAGGUAUCCGGGGUGCAACUGACGCUGAGGCUCGAAAGUGCGGGUAUCAAACAGGAUUAGAUACCCUGGUAGUCCGCACAGUAAACGAUGAAUACUCGCGAUUUGCGAUACACAGUAAGUCGCCAAGCGAAAGCGUUAAGUAUUCCACCUGGGGAGUACG
rnacentral:rRNA from 1 species